rnacentral:rRNA from 1 species
GACGAACGCUGGCGGAGGGAGGAACACAGGCAAGUCGAACGGAAAGGCCCCUUUGGGGGUACUCGAGUGGCGAACGGGUGAGUAACACGUGAGUAACCUGCCCUUGACUUCGGGAUAACUUCAGGAAACUGGGGCUAAUACCGGAUAGGAAUCCUUGCUGCAUGGUGGGGGUUGGAAAGCUUCGGCGGUUUUGGAUGGACUCGCGGCUUAUCAGCUUGUUGGUGGGGUAGUGGCUUACCAAGGCUUUGACGGGUAGCCGGCCUGAGAGGGCGACCGGCCACAUUGGGACUGAGAUACGGCCCAGACUCCUACGGGAGGCAGCAGUGGGGAAUAUUGCACAAUGGGCGGAAGCCUGAUGCAGCAACGCCGCGUGCGGGAUGACGGCCUUAGGGUUGUAAACCGCUUUCAGCAGGGGCGAAGCUUGUGGUGACGGUACCUGCAGAAGAAGCACCGGCUCACUACGUC